UCCCUCUAGAACUUAUGAGAAUUAACUCCUCCAUUGCUCUCUGAUAAAGUUCUGUCUAUGCCUGGUAUUACUCUGGUAGUCACCCGGUAGGACCUCCUGUUUGCUUUGCUGCCCAUCAUACCCUGCAGUUCUAGGAAGUUUGGCCUUCCUUGGGAAGAGGCUGUGGUAGAUAUUCAACGUUUAGGAGGAGGAAUAAGGACGCUCUCCUUUCCACUACUUGGUGCCAAACAUGGACAUGGCUCCUGCUCUGAAUGCUCCACAACACGGUUCCUUUUUAUAGGUACAAGAUUCUGAGAAACACUGUCACACUCUAGGGAGAGAUGAUUGGAGUGACCCUUAGGGCAAGUAUCUUUGGUCACCAGAUCCAUCUGGUUGAAAUGAAGCUGGUGUUACUCCUGGACUUGUCACAGGGACAUGGAGAUUAAAGUUGCCUGGUUAUCCUGAAAUCCUGAC
rnacentral:lncRNA from 12 species